rnacentral:rRNA from 1 species
GACGAACGCUGGCGGCGUGCCUAAUACAUGCAAGUCGAGCGAAGUUUUUCUGGUGCUUGCACUAGAAAAACUUAGCGGCGAACGGGUGAGUAACACGUAAAGAACCUGCCUCAUAGACUGGGACAACUAUUGGAAACGAUAGCUAAUACCGGAUAACAGUAUUUCUCGCAUGAGAGAUAUUUAAAAGUUGGUUAUGCUAACACUAUGAGAUGGCUUUGCGGUGCAUUAGCUAGUUGGUGGGGUAAAGGCCUACCAAGGCGACGAUGCAUAGCCGACCUGAGAGGGUGAUCGGCCACACUGGGACUGAGACACGGCCCAGACUCCUACGGGAGGCAGCAGUAGGGAAUCUUCCGCAAUGGGCGAAAGCCUGACGGAGCAACGCCGCGUGAGUGAAGAAGGAUUUCGGUUCGUAAAGCUCUGUUGUUAGGGAAGAAUGGAUAUGUAGUAACUAUAC